rnacentral:lncRNA from 1 species
UUCCUUAUAGUAUAGGAAUAGAUGAAGCAGCAAUUCGAGGGCGGAGAAACCGAUAGUGCCAAUUUCGCCGGAUGAAGAUGAUGAAGCAAGUUAUAGAGUCUAAGGAAGAGAAGAAGCUGCCGAUGAAGCGGUAAUUUGACGAUGGAGGAACUAAUUGCUCAACCUCCACCAGAGACGGGGACUUGAGGAAGAAGAUGAAGAUGAAGAUAGAGGAGGUUAUAGAGUCGGAGGCGGAAGCUGAGGCGGUGUUAUUGGAUGAGAAUUUACCCGUGUUAUCUUCCUGUUUGCGCAAACGGUUUUCUUCUCUGAAACUUAAUGCAAUACUGCUUGGAUCUUAAUAAAGUACAUAAAAUAGUUUAUCAGCUGUGAAGAAUUUAAUGCAAGUUUGACGAAACUAUUGAUUAAUUACUGAUUUCAGUAAAUUUAACGCGAAACACGGCUCUAUCACCGACCAUAAACCCUUAAUGUGCUCGCCCUGAAAAUAAAAUAUUCGAAAAGCAUUCAUUCUCAACGCGGAGACUGCUU